GGGGGUUUAGCUCAGCGGUAGAGCGUUUGCUUCGCAAGUAAAAGGUCACGGGUUCAAUCCCCGUAGUCUCCA
rfam:Edhazardia aedis TSNM 41457 supercont1.29, whole genome shotgun sequence.